rnacentral:rRNA from 1 species
UGGGGAAUAUUGCUCAAUGGGCGCAAGCCUGAAGCAGCGACGCCGCGUGAGGGAUGAAGGCCUUCGGGUUGUAAACCUCUUUCAGCGCCGAAGAAGCGAAAGUGACGGUAGGCGCAGAAGAAGCACCCGCUAACUCCGUGCCAGCAGCCGCGGUAAUACGUAGGGUGCAAGCGUUGUCCGGAAUCAUUGGGCGUAAAGAGCUCGUAGGCGGUCUGUCGCGUCUGCUGUGAAAACCUGGGGCUUAACCCUGGGCUUGCAGUGGGUACGGGCAGACUAGAGUGCGGUAGGGAAGACUGGAAUUCCUGGUGUAGCGGUGAAAUGCGCAGAUAGCAGGAGGAACACCGGUGGCGAGGGCGGGUCUCUGGGCCGUAACUGACGCUGAGGAGCGAAAGCAUGGGUAGCGAACAGG